GAUGAACGCUGGCGGCGUGCCUAAUACAUGCAAGUCGAGCGAACGGACGAGAAGCUUGCUUCUCUGAUGUUAGCGGCGGACGGGUGAGUAACACGUGGAUAACCUACCUAUAAGACUGGGAUAACUUCGGGAAACCGGAGCUAAUACCGGAUAAUAUUUUGAACCGCAUGGUUCAAAAGUGAAAGACGGUCUUGCUGUCACUUAUAGAUGGAUCCGCGCUGCAUUAGCUAGUUGGUAAGGUAACGGCUUACCAAGGCAACGAUGCAUAGCCGACCUGAGAGGGGGAUUGGCCACACCAGAACUGGGACACGGUCCCGACUCCUACGGGAGGGAGCAGUAGGGGAUCUUACGGAAUGGGGGGAAACCUGACGGGGGAACGGCGCGUGGGUGGUGAAGGUCUUCGGAUCGGAAAACCCUUUUAUUAGGGGAGAACAUAUGUGGAAGGUACUGUGGACAUCUUGACGGUACCUAAUCAAGAAGCCACGGCUAACUACGUG
rnacentral:rRNA from 1 species